GGUUAAGCGACUAAGCGUACACGGUGGAUGCCCUGGCAGUCAGAGGCGAUGAAGGACGUGCUAAUCUGCGAUAAGCGUCGGUAAGGUGAUAUGAACCGUUAUAACCGGCGAUUUCCGAAUGGGGAAACCCAGUGUGUUUCGACACACUAUCAUUAACUGAAUCCAUAGGUUAAUGAGGCGAACCGGGGGAACUGAAACAUCUAAGUACCCCGAGGAAAAGAAAUCAACCGAGAUUCCCCCAGUAGCGGCGAGCGAACGGGGAGCAGCCCAGAGCCUGAAUCAGUAUGUGUGUUAGUGGAAGCGUCUGGAAAGGCGCGCGAUACAGGGUGACAGCCCCGUACACAAAAAUGCACAUAUUGUGAGCUCGAUGAGUAGGGCGGGACACGUGGUAUCCUGUCUGAAUAUGGGGGGACCAUCCUCCAAGGCUAAAUACUCCUGACUGACCGAUAGUGAACCAGUACCGUGAGGGAAAGGCGAAAAGAACCCCGGCGAGGGGAGUGAAAAAGAACCUGAAACCGUGUACGUACAAGCAGUGGGAGCACGCUUCGGCGUGUGACUGCGUACCUUUUGUAUAAUGGGUCAGCGACUUAUAUUCUGUAGCAAGGUUAACCGAAUAGGGGAGCCGAAGGGAAACCGAGUCUUAACUGGGCGUUAAGUUGCAGGGUAUAGACCCGAAACCCGGUGAUCUAGCCAUGGGCAGGUUGAAGGUUGGGUAACACUAACUGGAGGACCGAACCGACUAAUGUUGAAAAAUUAGCGGAUGACUUGUGGCUGGGGGUGAAAGGCCAAUCAAACCGGGAGAUAGCUGGUUCUCCCCGAAAGCUAUUUAGGUAGCGCCUCGUGAACUCAUCUCCGGGGGUAGAGCACUGUUUCGGCAAGGGGGUCAUCCCGACUUACCAACCCGAUGCAAACUGCGAAUACCGGAGAAUGUUAUCACGGGAGACACACGGCGGGUGCUAACGUCCGUCGUGAAGAGGGAAACAACCCAGACCGCCAGCUAAGGUCCCAAAGUCAUGGUUAAGUGGGAAACGAUGUGGGAAGGCCCAGACAGCCAGGAUGUUGGCUUAGAAGCAGCCAUCAUUUAAAGAAAGCGUAAUAGCUCACUGGUCGAGUCGGCCUGCGCGGAAGAUGUAACGGGGCUAAACCAUGCACCGAAGCUGCGGCAGCGACACUAUGUGUUGUUGGGUAGGGGAGCGUUCUGUAAGCCUGUGAAGGUGUGCUGUGAGGCAUGCUGGAGGUAUCAGAAGUGCGAAUGCUGACAUAAGUAACGAUAAAGCGGGUGAAAAGCCCGCUCGCCGGAAGACCAAGGGUUCCUGUCCAACGUUAAUCGGGGCAGGGUGAGUCGACCCCUAAGGCGAGGCCGAAAGGCGUAGUCGAUGGGAAACAGGUUAAUAUUCCUGUACUUGGUGUUACUGCGAAGGGGGGACGGAGAAGGCUAUGUUGGCCGGGCGACGGUUGUCCCGGUUUAAGCGUGUAGGCUGGUUUUCCAGGCAAAUCCGGAAAAUCAAGGCUGAGGCGUGAUGACGAGGCACUACGGUGCUGAAGCAACAAAUGCCCUGCUUCCAGGAAAAGCCUCUAAGCAUCAGGUAACAUCAAAUCGUACCCCAAACCGACACAGGUGGUCAGGUAGAGAAUACCAAGGCGCUUGAGAGAACUCGGGUGAAGGAACUAGGCAAAAUGGUGCCGUAACUUCGGGAGAAGGCACGCUGAUAUGUAGGUGAAGCGACUUGCUCGUGGAGCUGAAAUCAGUCGAAGAUACCAGCUGGCUGCAACUGUUUAUUAAAAACACAGCACUGUGCAAACACGAAAGUGGACGUAUACGGUGUGACGCCUGCCCGGUGCCGGAAGGUUAAUUGAUGGGGUUAGCGCAAGCGAAGCUCUUGAUCGAAGCCCCGGUAAACGGCGGCCGUAACUAUAACGGUCCUAAGGUAGCGAAAUUCCUUGUCGGGUAAGUUCCGACCUGCACGAAUGGCGUAAUGAUGGCCAGGCUGUCUCCACCCGAGACUCAGUGAAAUUGAACUCGCUGUGAAGAUGCAGUGUACCCGCGGCAAGACGGAAAGACCCCGUGAACCUUUACUAUAGCUUGACACUGAACAUUGAGCCUUGAUGUGUAGGAUAGGUGGGAGGCUUUGAAGUGUGGACGCCAGUCUGCAUGGAGCCGACCUUGAAAUACCACCCUUUAAUGUUUGAUGUUCUAACGUUGACCCGUAAUCCGGGUUGCGGACAGUGUCUGGUGGGUAGUUUGACUGGGGCGGUCUCCUCCUAAAGAGUAACGGAGGAGCACGAAGGUUGGCUAAUCCUGGUCGGACAUCAGGAGGUUAGUGCAAUGGCAUAAGCCAGCUUGACUGCGAGCGUGACGGCGCGAGCAGGUGCGAAAGCAGGUCAUAGUGAUCCGGUGGUUCUGAAUGGAAGGGCCAUCGCUCAACGGAUAAAAGGUACUCCGGGGAUAACAGGCUGAUACCGCCCAAGAGUUCAUAUCGACGGCGGUGUUUGGCACCUCGAUGUCGGCUCAUCACAUCCUGGGGCUGAAGUAGGUCCCAAGGGUAUGGCUGUUCGCCAUUUAAAGUGGUACGCGAGCUGGGUUUAGAACGUCGUGAGACAGUUCGGUCCCUAUCUGCCGUGGGCGCUGGAGAACUGAGGGGGGCUGCUCCUAGUACGAGAGGACCGGAGUGGACGCAUCACUGGUGUUCGGGUUGUCAUGCCAAUGGCACUGCCCGGUAGCUAAAUGCGGAAGAGAUAAGUGCUGAAAGCAUCUAAGCACGAAACUUGCCCCGAGAUGAGUUCUCCCUGACUCCUUGAGAGUCCUGAAGGAACGUUGAAGACGACGACGUUGAUAGGCCGGGUGUGUAAGCGCAGCGAUGCGUUGAGCUAACCGGUACUAAUGAACCGUGAGGCUUAACCUU
rnacentral:rRNA from 1 species